rnacentral:rRNA from 1 species
UACGUAGGGUGCGAGCGUUAAUCGGAAUUACUGGGCGUAAAGCGUGCGCAGGCGGUUCGUUGUGUCCGUCGUGAAAGCCCGGGCUUAACCCUGGGAACUGCGAUGGAAACUAGCGAGCUGGAGUGUGGCAGAGGGGGGUGGAAUUCCGCGUGUAGCAGUGAAAUGCGUAGAGAUGCGGAGGAACACCGAUGGCGAAGGCAGCCCCCUGGGCUAACACUGACGCUCAGGCACGAAAGCGUGGGGAGCAAACGGG